AAGCUCCAAAGCCUCCACAACUUUUCAUUGCCAAGCUUCAAUUUCCUCAAAACAACUUGAAGAUAGGGACUUCUAACUAGCUCGACCAUCUUGGCUUAACAAUUUUGUAAACAAAGUACCUUGUGAAGGCUAUAAGAUGAAACAAAAAAGCUAUGAACUAGUGAAAAAACUAUAGCACCUAUAACCAGCAUACUUUGUAGGGCACUCUCCAGUUACUCCAAAUGAGUAGUGCAAGAAGAAGUGUGUCAUUGUGACAGCGACGCCAGAGUACUUCUGAACUUGGGGCAGAAAACUUCUCAAGCAGCAGGCAUGUUACUGAGCAAGUACGCGAGUAGUGGAUUCCGUCCAGAUUUCUCUCCCGGAUCUGCGAGUGGAGCCUCUUCUCAGGUAAGUCGCCAUGUGCCUUGAGUGCCAUCAUGAAAAGUCUGAGCGUUUGGCUGCCGGUUUGCUCGUAGCACUCAAGAGCAAAGGUUGUUCUCGGCAUAUCCCAAGAAACGAUGUUUUGCUGCUCCAUGCAAAGUCUCAGCGUUUGGAGGCAGGCCAGCUUCUCGUUGCAUCUGAUAGAAGACGUGCAUGUCCCAUGAUGAUCGUGUUCCAGGCAACCAACGUCGUGUUUCUUUGUCCUCCUGAACACUUCUGAUGCUUCCACAUGUCCACGAGGCUGCUUGCGACGAAUGCAUUGGCUCAAUUUGCGAGGUAGACCAACCUAUCCUGUUCUUCGUCCCAUCCUGUCAAACAAGCCGCAGUGUAGACUUCGACCAUACUUCCACAAUUUUGCACUUGCUUGAUUCCCGGCUUAUGAUGCUCUUGACUCUGGAGAAACUUAUCUGGCCG
rnacentral:lncRNA from 1 species